rnacentral:rRNA from 1 species
ACUGCUCAGUAACACGUGGAUAACCUGCCCUUGGGUCCGGCAUAACCCCGGGAAACUGGGGAUAAUUCCGGAUAACGCACAUAUGCUGGAAUGCUUUAUGCGUAAAAUGGAUUCGUCUGCCCAAGGAUGGAUCUGCGGCCUAUCAGGUAGUAGUGGGUGUAAUGUACCUACUAGCCAACAACGGGUACGGGUUGUGAGAGCAAGAGCCCGGAGAUGGAUUCUGAGACAUGAAUCCAGGCCCUACGGGGCGCAGCAGGCGCGAAAACUUUACAAUGCGGGAAACCGUGAUAAGGGGACACCGAGUGCCAGCAUCAUAUGCUGGCUGUCCGGGUGUGUAAAAUACACCCGUUAGCAAGGGCCGGGCAAGACCGGUGCCAGCCGCCGCGGUAACACCGGCGGCCCGAGUGGUGAUCGUGAUUAUUGGGUCUAAAGGGUCCGUAGCCGGUUUGGUCAGUCCUCCGGGAAAUCUGACGGCUCAACCGUUAGGCUUUCGGGGGAUACUGCCAGGCUUGGAACCGGGAGAGGUAAGAGGUACUACAGGGGUAGGAGUGAAAUCUUGUAAUCCCUGUGAGACCACCUGUGGCGAAGGCGUCUUACCAGAACGGGUUCGACGGUGAGGGACGAAAGCUGGGGGCACGAACCGGAUUAGAUACCCGGGUAGUCCCAGCCGUAAACGAUGCUCGCUAGGUGUCAGGCAUGGCGCGACCGUGUCUGGUGCCGCAGGGAAGCCGUGAAGCGAGCCACCUGGGAAGUACGGCCGCAAGGCUGAAACUUAAAGGAAUUGGCGGGGGAGCAC